GUCCACGCCGUAAACGAUGAGUGCUAGAUGUCGCGGGUAUUGACCCCUGCGGCGUCGUAGCUAACGCGUUAAGCACUCCGCCUGGGGAGUACGGCCGCAAGGCUAAAACUCAAAGGAAUUGACGGGGGCCCGCACAAGCGGUGGAGCAUGUGGUUCAAUUCGACGCAACGCGCAGAACCUUACCUGGGUUAAAUCCACAGGAACCUGGCAGAGAUGUCGGGGUGCUCUUCGGAGAAUCUGUGAGACGGUGCUGCAUGGCUGUCGU
rnacentral:rRNA from 1 species